UACGAAGGGGGCUAGCGUUGCUCGGAAUCACUGGGCGUAAAGAGCACGUAGGCGGACUCUUAAGUCAGGGGUGAAAUCCUGGAGCUCAACUCCAGAACUGCCUUUGAUACUGAAGAUCUUGAGUGCGGGAGAGGUGAGUGGAACUGCGAGUGUAGAGGUGAAAUGCGUAGAUAUUCGCAAGAACACCAGUGGCGAAGGCGGCUCACUGGCCCGAUACUGACGCUGAGGCACGAAAGCGUGGGGAGCAAACAGG
rnacentral:rRNA from 1 species